AUGGAGAGAAAAAAGAUAUCUCGAAUCCUCUCAGCGGCAAAAACGAACCCUUCAUCUUUAAAAUUCCAUCGACUACCAUCCAUCUCUCAGUCCUGUUCAACCAUUCUUUCACGCCCUUGUUUCCUUCCAUACUCUCACGCAUACAUACUCCCAGUUUCUGUCCAGCUUCAGCAACAAUUAGUAUUUUUUUUUUCUAUUUUUACUUUACCAACAGUUGUUUAAUUCUUCUUUUGUGAUGAAGUUACUGUGUUGUUGAUUUUAGUUUGGAUAUUGGAGUUUUUGAUGUCAAGAUUGUAUUCUAUGCUAAUAUGGUAA